UACGAAGGGGGGCAAGCGUUGUUCGGAUUUACUGGGCGUAAAGGGCGCGCAGGCGGCUCUUCAAGUCAGAUGUGAAAGCCCCGGGCUCAACCUGGGAACUGCAUUUGAGACUGAAGAACUCGAGUUCGGGAGAGGAUGGCGGAAUUCCCAGUGUAGAGGUGAAAUUCGUAGAUAUUGGGAAGAACACCGGUGGCGAAGGCGGCCAUCUGGACCGAGACUGACGCUGAGGCGCGAAAGCGUGGGGAGCAAACGGGG
rnacentral:rRNA from 1 species